UCUUCUUCUUCUUCUCACUAAAGCUUUCUCCUUUGUUGCAGGUUUAAUCAAGAACUCAAUCUCAACACUCCCUCUUGAGUUCUUCGAUUAAAUCCCCAAUUUCAAUUUUAGGGCUUUCAAUCCCACGGCUUCUUCUUCUUCUCUUCAGCCUCUCUUCUCUUCUUCGGCGAGCAUCUCCUUCUUGCUUCUAUUCCUUUUAAUAGAGCUUCUUUCUCUAUCGUGGUGCUAAGCUUCUCCAACGGCAGCUAGAGGUCACAACUCUCACCGAUCACCAGUCACUUCCGCCGUCUUCAACCACCACUUCCGAAAGACUUCAGCUCUUCCGCUUCAUGUCUCCUCCAAGUUUUCUCCGUGAGCUCUUCUCACGUCUCUUGCUCGGCUGACGUUGCAACCGGCUUCAGCUCCCACUGUGGUUUUGAUCCACUCAGAUUUCAACCCUAGUCACUGAUUGGAGCUUCUUAACACCAGUGCUGCCACCUUAAUUGCUUCCUCUUUGACGCAAGGCUUCACUGCCUACAUUUCAUCUUAGAGGUUGCAACCAAGCUUGCAUUGGUGCCGUUUUUUCUUGUUCUACUUCAGCCACAGAAUUCUCCCUCUCGGUUUGGCACUUCACAGAUGGCUGCAGCAACUCUUCAUUUGUCUUGAGCUCAGGUCCACUCAAGAACUUUUGCCUAUGAGCUCAGGUCCGCUCAAGGCUUCUCUUCCAGAGGUUUAAUCAAGAACUCAAUCUCAACAACCAUCUAUGGAAGUGAAUAUGAGCCUUUGGAUGUGUUGGGUCUUUUGCCAAAAUGCAAUUUCCGACGGCUACGCCGUAUGUAUUCCGGCAUAUUUUGCCGAUUAUAUGUCAAUUCUAACAUUUUUUGUUAGUUUUGGGUUAGUUUCCGGUGGUCAUCGUGAUCGUUUGGUGGCUUUCCGAUGUUUGAAACAAAUCUGUGAAGAUUUGUUGUGGAAACGGCGACCGCCUAGGAAACCGCCAUGGAAACAAAUCAUAAGGACCUUGUAUUUCUGUUCGUUGAAGAACGUCAACAUGAGAAUCGAGAGCAUAGAUUUAUCAUGGGCGAUAUUUACAACCAAAACAAUGCCAUCGUUUCACGCGAAAGAUGGAAAUGUUUGUAUGGUUUGCGAUGUAACUGAUGGAUCGCAAUCUUUUGAUUUUCAAAAAACGUAUUGGAGUUUCACAAAA